rnacentral:rRNA from 1 species
CAGCAGCCACGGUAAUACAGAGGGUGCAAGCGUUAAUCGGAAUUACUGGGCGUAAAGCGCGCGUAGGUGGUUUGUUAAGUUGGAUGUGAAAUCCCCGGGCUCAACCUGGGAACUGCAUUCAAAACUGACUGACUAGAGUAUGGUAGAGGGUGGUGGAAUUUCCUGUGUAGCGGUGAAAUGCGUAGAUAUAGGAAGGAACACCAGUGGCGAAGGCGACCACCUGGACUAAUACUGACACUGAGGUGCGAAAGCGUGGGGAGCAAACAGGAUUAGAUACCCCGGUAGUCCCUGUCUCUUAUAC